rnacentral:rRNA from 1 species
GAUGAACGCUAGCGGCAGGCUUAAUACAUGCAAGUCGAGGGGCAGCAUGAUCGUAGCAAUACGGUUGAUGGCGACCGGCAAACGGGUGCGGAACACGUACACAACCUUCCUUUAAGCGGGGAAUAGCCCAGAGAAAUUUGGAUUAAUACCCCAUAGUAUAUUGAAAAGGCAUCUUUUUAAUAUUAAAGAUUUAUCACUAAAAGAUGGGUGUGCGGCUGAUUAGGUAGUUGGCGGGGUAACGGCCCACCAAGCCGACGAUCAGUAACUGGUGUGAGAGCACGACCAGUCACACGGGCACUGAGACACGGGCCCGACUCCUACGGGAGGCAGCAGUAAGGAAUAUUGGUCAAUGGACGAAAGUCUGAACCAGCCAUGCCGCGUGGAGGAUGAAGGUCCUCUGGAUUGUAAACUUCUUUUAUCUGGGACGGAAAAAGGGAAUUCUUUCCCGUCCGACGGUACCAGAUGAAUAAGCACCGGCUAACUCCGUGCCAGCAGCCGCGGUAAUACGGAGGGUGCAAGCGUUAUCCGGAUUCACUGGGUUUAAAGGGUGCGUAGGUGGGUUGGUAAGUCAGUGGUGAAAUCUCCAGGCUU